AGUGGCAGGUUAGGGAGCUGCAGCUGAGUCCAAAGCCAGCCAGAAAGUGAAGACAAAAUGGCGAGAGCGUUAUCUAAUGUUUUCCCUUCUUGUUCCCAUACCUCUCAGCAAGACUGUGAGGGAAGUUGACAUCACAAUUGUUUUCCUUUCACAGCCUAUGAUGUAGUUCUUCUCACCAAAACAUUCUAGCUAGCUUCAAACUAGCACAACCCACCCCUGUCUACUUCACUCAGAGUAUCGCUGAGAAUUAUCUGAUCUAAUCUAAACCAAUAUUUACACUAAAACAAUAUUUACAAGUUCAGUUCACACUUCAUUGCGGCUAUCUCAGAUGUAGGUGAUUCAAAAGCUCAGAACAGUUUGUCUCCUCACAGAUGAGACAAGAACAGGGACUCCCAGGUGACGUUGGGUUCAUGCUCAUGUACUGUAAAUUCUCUCAUAGAUUCUCUCAGUGUUGGACGCCGAUGGUACCUAGAACAGAAAACUCCUAACAGCUUGUAUUAUACACUCUGAAUUUAGACUCUGUCAGCUAAGUCACGCUGAGAACUCUGGGAAGAAGAAGUAAACAUUCUCCAUUUUGUCUUUCAUUCUGCCUUUGUCUUCAGACCUGGUCGCAUCUCCUUAACCCCACUGCCGCUAACCUUCCUUCUUGACCUCUUGGCUGCACCUCUAUUCUUCCUGGGAACUGGGGUAAGGUUGAGAGGGGCCAGGGAAGGUGUUGGGGUGGUUUGAGAGCCCCUCCUGGGGACUCAGGUUUCUGGGAGGGGAGUUGUGCUUCUGUGUUGUUUAUACUGUGUAUAUUUCUGUAUAUAACUGUAUAUAUUGUAAAUAGCUGCUUGUGUAUUUGCUGCUUGUAAAUAAAUAGCUUCAUUUAUA